GGUUAAGUUAAUAAGGGCGCACGGUGGAUGCCUUGGCACUAGGAGCCGAAGAAGGACGUGACAAACGACGAUAUGCCUUGGGUAGCUGUAAGUAAGCGAUGAUCCAGGGAUUUCCGAAUGGGGGAACCCAACAGGUACUACCUGUUACCCGCAUCUGUUAAGGAUGUGAGGAGGAAGACGCAGUGAACUGAAACAUCUAAGUAGCUGCAGGAAGAGAAAGCAAAAGCGAUUGCCUUAGUAGCGGCGAGCGAAACGGCAGAAGGGCAAACCGAAGAGUUUACUCUUCGGGGUUGUAGGACUGCAAUGUGGACUCAAAGAUUAUAGAAGAAUGAUUUGGGAAGAUCAGCCAAAGAGAGUAAUAGCCUCGUAUUUAAAAUAGUCUUUGUACCUAGCAGUAUCCUGAGUACGGCGGGACACGAGAAAUCCCGUCGGAAUCUGGGAGGACCAUCUCCCAACCCUAAAUACUCCCUAGUGACCGAUAGUGAACCAGUACCGUGAGGGAAAGGUGAAAAGCACCCCGGGAGGGGAGUGAAAUAGAACCUGAAACCGUGUGCCUACAACAAGUUCGAGCCCGUUAAUGGGUGAGAGCGUGCCUUUUGUA
rnacentral:rRNA from 1 species